UGUUUUUGUGUAUAACAUGUUCUGCCAGA
rnacentral:sRNA from 1 species